ACAUACGACCACAGACUCCAGAAAACUGGGCAUCCCGUCCGCUCUGCCAUACAUAAGCUUGAGAUCGGCGGAUUAGUAGUUGGGUGGGUGACCACCAGCGAAUCCCCGCUGUUGUAUGUU
rnacentral:rRNA from 1 species